rnacentral:lncRNA from 1 species
UUUCUUUAACAAAAGCAUCUAGUGUAGUUUCUUAUUUUUUGCACAUAUUGCACGAAUAUAUGUGCAUACUUUAUGUAUCAAUUUGUGAGCGAAAACCAUUUGAACAUCAAACAAAAAUAUAGUUAAUUAUCUGAAUCAAUUAUUCAAGCUCGGGUUUUACUGGCAUUAUUUGAAGACUUCGCGAAAAGAUAUUAUAACUUUAAUGUCCAGGUAGGUUAGGUUUUUCCUAUUUUUAGAUUGAGCUUAAUUACUGAAAAUGUAAACUAUUAUGUUAGCCUUGGAUAAAUUCUUUUAGAUGAGUAUUUUUUAUAUAUAUAUAAAUUGUCUAAUUUAUCUGGAUUAGGACCUUGUUUUAGUAAAUUUUUUUGGAAAAAUUAUUUUUUAAAUAAUAUAACAUCUAUCACUUUGGGAUGUAAAAUUAAAUUGCAAAAUUUUGAAUUUAUACCUUUUAAAUUAAGGUUAACGGAUGAUUAUUUAGACAUUGAUAUUGUUAUGAUAUGGUAUGAAUUUUAAUAUUGUUGAUGGGUAUGGUUACUAUGAGUUCCGGUUCGAGUCCGGUAAUAGACUAUUAUGGUUACUAUGAGUUUCGGUUCGAGUCCGGUAAUUGAUUAUUAUGGCUACUAUGAGUUUCGGUUCGAGUCCGGCAAUAGACUAUUAUGAUUACUAUAAGUUUCGGUUCGAAUCCAGUAAUAGAUCAUUAUGAUUACUAUGAGUUUCGGUCCGAUUCCGGUAAUUGAUCAUUAAGGCUACUAUGAGUUCCGGUUCGAGUCCAGUAAUUGAUUAUUAUGGCUACUAUGAGUUCUGGUUCGAGUCCGACAAUUGAUUAUUAUGGUUACUGUGAGUUUCGGUUCGAGUCCGACAUCUGAUUACGGUUGUGGUUACUUAAGUUUCGGUUCGAGUUCGGCAUCUGAUUAUGAAUUUCGGUGUACAUCUGGAUGACUAUCAUGAUUUAUUGAAACCAGUGCAGUUAUAGAUUAUUUAUGUUUAUUUCCAUUACCUGUGUGUUCCACCGGCUUAUGGGGGUAUGGUUGGGUUAGUUGUUUUCUUCAGUGUGUCUAGAGGGCUAAUGGAGGCCCAGAUAGGUUAUGUUUGAUUUAUCUUUUAUUUUUGCAUUAUUUACUUUCUGUAUUGCUUAUGUUUAUUCCUUUACGGUCGUUGCGUAGCUUGGUAGUUGUUUCGUUUUCCAUCCCUAUUUACUAAUGACUCAGAGUACGCCCUGGUAUUGUAGUUAUACCCUUUUUGUAUUGAGCUUAGUUGGUCGACGAUGCCUACUGAGUACCCAUUGUUUUGGCACUCAUGCUACAUUUCUGCAUUUUUUCCUGAUGCAGAUUCGGGUACUAGCAGUCGAUGUUGACGAGAUUCCUACCUUUCAAUAUUGAUUCAGAGCAAGCUGAGUUCGUUGUCGACCGAGGUUGAUCCUCCUCUAUCUACUCUAGUUAGUCUUUCGCACUUGAGACUGCUUGUGUAUAUUGUGUACAUUUUAGAUUUUUGUCUAGUACUUUUGGUAUCUGUUAGUAGUGGGUCUAGUACUGACUUUAUCAGGUCGUUGGUCCUUUUUCUUCAUCUCCUUUGAUAUAAUAUAUGUGCUCCCUUCUUAGUUUUCUCUUAUUGUUUUUGUUCUUGUCAUUACACGUAAUAUUUUCUUUGGUCUCUGUCUGUUAGCCCGUUACCUAUCAUUUCGAACUAUGGCUUGGCUUGCCUACUGAUGGGUUAAAGUAGGUGCCAUCACGACCUGAGAAAUCGGAUCGUGACAUUAGUUGAGGUACAUAUAAACUUUUACAUACAAACUUUUCCAACACCAUCUCAUAAGGAGAAUAUAAACCACAACAUCUUAAUUGUGAAAUUGCAGAUUAGCUAGGAGAAAAUUCUGACAGUUGUGAAAUCAAAAAUAAAAACUAUUUCUAUUAAUUUCAUAUAAGACAAUUUGCAUACACAAUAUACCCAAUUCAUAAAACUUUUGCCAUGAAGCUAAAUAAAACAUAAUGCACCAACUUGUUUUAGAGGUACGAGUUGUAUUUCAACUUUCAACCACUAACAACAACAAAAGUUAUAUUUUAACUUAACCCGCACACUAACAACAACAAAAGUUAUAUUUCAACUUCAACGACAAACACACAAAAUUUAUGAAGUCUAAUUUAUAUGCAUGUCAUUAAAAAUAGAAAAAAUAAUUCAUUAUCAACAUUAUUGCAUUAAAAUACAGAAAAAAUAUAAAUAAUUUAUGAUUUCUUUGUGUCAACCUUAUUAUCACCAACUUUGCCAACACUCACAUUGCACUUGGAUCUUCUAACUUUAGCAUUUUUAUAAUUUUUUAUUUUUAAUUUUUUCGUUUUAUGAGCGAAAAUUUCAUCUUCAAAAUCAGAAUCUGAAGCUUGUUCAACAACCACCUUUUUUCUCUUAUCAACCAUCUUAUAUUUUGAAAUAACAAUCUUUUUUGACACUAAAUAACUUUGCAUGUUGAGUUGUGAUUGCUUCAAGGCUGGUGAAUUUUUUGAAAAAUCAAUUCUGACCGAUAAAAUUUCAUUUUGAUUAUGCCAAAUAGACUACCUUGCAUUACCUUCUUCUUUUCCUUUGAUAAUAAAGAAGGGGUAUAACACCACAAAUCAAACGAGGAUAUAGAUAGAACAAACGAACUAUUUUCUUAUAUUAAUCUAGGGCUUUUUCUAUUAAAAGUUGUAUCAAAUUUGUAUUUUUCUGAUAUGUCUCAAGAAAAAAAAUAAUAAAGUGAAAAAUUCUUAAUCCAAGCAUAUGAGGAAACCCAAGUUUUAUAUGCAUGAAACUCAAAAGAAGAUGAAAAAGUUAAGAGUUAAAGACUUUUAUCGGGAAACAAAUACGGUAAAAUGUGAUAAAGUAUAGAAAGUAAGUUAAUGGAAAAAUGGUUCAUAAGACCUAUGUACCAUAUCGGUUUUGUAAGUUGAAUACUUCUACUUAUAUGUUUGUCAUCUGAACCCUUGAACCCAGUAAAAAGCAACAUUUUAAACUCUUUGAUCGUUGAUCUUACCUAUGUGGCAUUGAAAUGCUGAUUAGGACAAAAAAAGUGUAGUCACUCGCUUGGGGUGCGAGUGCGGGUCAAUUUUUGGACAAUUUUAUAUUAAAAUAAUUUUUAAAAAUUUUUAAAAAAUAAUAUUAAAAUUAAAAAAAGGAUUUUUUCCUCCAAUUUUUUUAAUUUAAAAAUAUUUUUUAAAAAUUUAAAAUAAUAAAUUUAGUUUCUUUCCCACCCCAACCCGUCCCCACACUCCAGCCCAGCCCCUCCAUCCCCAAACCCUGCACAUAGUAGGAGCCUUAAUGCACCGGGAUGCUCUUUUUUCACUUUAAUGAUGCGCUCGCCAUAUUUUUCAAAAAAAUAUAUUUAUCAUAUUUGUCUCCAAUAAUAUAACUUGCCAUAAUCAUCAAAAGAUUUUAAUGAAGAGUGAUAAAUGUUAAAUGUUAUAAAUAAGGAAAUAAUAUAAAUAAUAAAUAUUAGAAAAAUGAUUUUAUGAUAUCUAACUUGUAAUUAUUUCUUUAAUCUAGUAAUUAUUGAAAAUUUUUGCUAAUAAACAAUCUAAUAAGUUUAUUUAGGAUAAUUUUCA